rnacentral:lncRNA from 1 species
UUUUGCCAACUGCUUUAUACAAGUUGUCUUAUUUGACCCUCACAACAACUUUAUAAGAAUGAAGAUGGAGAUGAGGUUGAAGAGGGUGACAGGAAUGUUUAUCUUUACAUAAUAUAUAAUAAUAGCUAGAAUUCAUAAAGCAUUUUAAGGUUUGCAAAUUAUUUUAUAUAAGUUAUCUUGUUUGAUGCUCACCACAACCUUGUGAGGUCAGCGCUAUUACCCCCAUUUUACAGAUGAGGAAACUGAGGCCCAGGCGAUUAGGGGACGGAGAAUGGAGACAGGGAGGAGGCUAGAAAUGGGGCCCUAGAGACACGAGGAUGGGCACAGGUGGGGGGAGGGGCGGGAAGAAUGCCCUGGGCGCCCUGGGGGGAGAGUAGAUGAAAAAAGUGACAGGGCUAGCCGGGCCCCAGGCCGCGCUCGCGCAGAGUAGGGGGCUUGCCAUGGACCUCCCCCCAGCCCGGGCCCAGGCAAGCGGAGGGCGCGGUCGCAGAUGCCCUGCGCAGGCUAGCGGGCCGCCGGGGUAGGAUUGGACUCCCGCCUCCUCCCGCAGGGCGGUCUCUGGGUCACUGAUCCGGGCCGGGCCUGGCCCCACAGCCUCCUCAUCACUUCUGCUGGCUUCUGCCUCAGCCUCACUAUUGGCGGGGACAGGCGCACCCCGAACCCUUCUCCUCUCCACCCGGUAUUCUUGUUGUCCCACAAAGGGCUUGCCUUGUACUAUGAACACCCCAUCGGUAUAAGUGAUGGACACUUCUGUAAAAGGGUGAAGCAGACACAGUGGAGCACUUAGAGCUUGGUCAGACACCAAAGACACUCCUAUGUCCCCCGGAGCCAUCAGCAGUCAUUCUGACUUUUGUCUUGCCACUGGCCUUUUGAAGACUGGAAAGAGACUGUGAGGCUGACAACUUUCUGCCUCACUUAAAUACAAUUCAUGCACAAGUCAAGACAUCAGCCUCUGCUGUCAUCAGUCCUCUUCAAAAAUGGGAAUAAUAAAGUGGAGGAAUUCCAUGGGGACUGGAACAACCUCCAGGAAUUGACCCAGAGUGAGAGGAGCAGAACCAGGAGAAUAUUAUACACAGAGACUGAUACAUUGUGGUGCAAUCGAAUGUAAUGGACUUCUCCAUUAGUGGCAAUGCAGUGAUCCUGAACAACUCAGAGGGAUUUAUGAGAAAGAACACUAUCUACAUUCAGAGGAAAAACUGUGGGAGUGGAAACACAGAAGAAAAACAACUGCUUGAUUACAUGGGUCGAGGGGAUAUGAUUGGGGAUGUAGACUCUAAAUGAACAUCUUAGUGCAAACACCAACAACAUGGAAAUAUGUUCUGAUCAAGGACACAUGUAAAACCCAGUGGAAUUUUGCAUCAGCUAUGGGGAAGGGGAAGGGUGAGGGGAAGGGAGGGAAAGAAUAUGAUUCUUGUAACCAAGGAAUAAUGUUCUAAACUGACUAUUUAAAUAAAAUUUAAAAUAAAAUAAAAAUAAAAUAAAAU